GGGGGGUUAGCUCAGUUGGCUAGAGCGCUUGCAUGGCAUGCAAGAGGUCGUCGGUUCGACCCCGAUACUCUCCACUA
rnacentral:tRNA from 2 species